UACGUAGGUGGCAAGCGUUGUCCGGAAUUACUGGGUGUAAAGCGCGUGUAGGCGGCAGACCAAGUCGGCGGUGAAAGCGCCCGGCUCAACUGGGCGAGGUCCGUGGAAACUGUUCAGCUGGAGGACGGUAGAGGCGAGUGGAAUUCCCGGUGUAGUGGUGAAAUGCGUAGAGAUCGGGAGGAACACCUGUGGCGAAGGCGGCUCGCUGGGCCGGUCCUGACGCUGAGACGCGAAGGCGUGGGGAGCGAACGGG
rnacentral:rRNA from 1 species